AAUUAUCCCCUCACAGUGUACCAUGAAAACACGGUCCCUGGAGACUAUGUCCCCUCCGGGUGUAAACUUGGGGACACUAUAGAAAUAACAUCUGAAGUAAUUUAUGUCAGAGUGCAUGAAAUAGUGAUCAUCGAAAAAUUAGGUUGCGAGGAACUGAGCCUAAAAAACGUCGUAUCAACGGAGCCUGGACUUCCUGUAGCACAUGGAACACUGAUGACGGUACAAUGCGAAACAGGCUUCAUCAACAAAAGAGGGAAAGCGAGGUGUAUGGAUGGAGAGAUAGUUGGCCUUGUCUAUGAUGCACCACUUUGUGAUAUUAUAA